rnacentral:lncRNA from 1 species
AGACCCCAGCAAUUUGUAUGCAGUCUCAUGUGAACUCUUGGAUUUGGAAGGCAGUUUUGCCUCCUUUUUUUUUUUUUUUUUUUUUUAAAGAAAAAAACUCUGCUGUUCAGCUUCUUGUGCUUAAUGAGUCUGUUCGGAAGGGAAAACUAGCAAACAACCAAACAGGAGUUCUGCCCUUUAAGCAAUUGCUUUCUAGGUUCUUUAUCAGAAUAUCAUUGGGCUGUAAAGGAUUCUCCAGAUUUCUUCUGUACAUGGGGAUAGCUCCUAUGGUGGAAAAUGGCAAUUUAUGUGGGAUAAGAACUGACCUUACGCAUGCGUCCUCUGCAAGCUUUCUAUGGAAUCCAGGUAAAAAAUGGAAAUAUCAAGGUGAUGGAAUCUGUCUGAAGAAGGGUAGAGCAAUGAUUUUGUGGCAAUUAAAGUCAUUUAAAACAAACAAAAGAUGUUACUUGAAGCCCAAGUUGUAAGGUAAUAGUUAAACUCUCCUUUC